GUGAGUUCAUGCUCCAUUUUCCGAUUCUUAUCCAGAAGAAGAGACUCCAGUUUGCUCAUCUCUUCCCCAGUAGUAGCUACUUCCCAAUCUUCAGCCUCAGUUGAAUUGUAGCCCACAGCCUGCAGAAUUUUCACUUUUUUACGCAAAUCAUCAACUAAUUUUGCAGUUGGCCUUGCAUGAAGCUCUUUCUUCAUCUCCUCAAGAGCAAGUUCCUUCUCAUUGAGU
rnacentral:misc_RNA from 1 species